rnacentral:rRNA from 1 species
AGUGAAUAGAUACCCGGGUAGUCCUAGCCGUAAACGAUACUCGCUAGGUGUCGGCCACGGUGCGACCGUUGUCGGUGCCGUAGGGAAAGCCGUGAAGCGAGCCACCUGGGAAGUACGGCCGCAAGGCUGAAACUUAAAGGAAUUGGCGGGGGAGCACCACAACGGGUGGAGCUUGCGGUUUAAUUGGAUUCAACGCCGGAAAUCUUACCGGGACCGACAGCAAUAUGAAGGCCAGGCUGAAGACUUUGCCGGAUUAGCUGAGAGGUGGUGCAUGGCCGUCGUCAGUUCGUACUGUGAAAGCAUCCUGUUAAGUCAGGCAACGAGCGAGACCCACGCCCACAGUUGCCAGCGUACUCUCCGGAGUGACGGGUACACUGUGGGGACCGCCGCUGCUAAAGCGGAGGAAGGAAUGGGCAACGGUAGGUCAGUAUGCCCCGAAUAUCCCGGGCUACACGCGGGCUACAAUGGUUGGUACAAUGGGUAUCUACCCCGAAAGGGGAUGGAAAUCUCCUAAAGCCAAUCUUAGUUCGGAUUGAGGGGCUGCAACUCGCCCUC